GGAUGAACGCUGGCGGCGUGCUUAACACAUGCAAGUCGAACGAUGAAGCCCAGCUUGCUGGGUGGAUUAGUGGCGAACGGGUGAGUAACACGUGAGUAACCUGCCCUUAACUCUGGGAUAAGCCUGGGAAACUGGGUCUAAUACCGGAUAGGAGCGUCCACCGCAUGGUGGGUGUUGGAAAGAUUUAUCGGUUUUGGAUGGACUCGCGGCCUAUCAGCUUGUUGGUGAGGUAAUGGCUCACCAAGGCGACGACGGGUAGCCGGCCUGAGAGGGUGACCGGCCACACUGGGACUGAGACACGGCCCAGACUCCUACGGGAGGCAGCAGUGGGGAAUACUGCACAAUGGGCGCAAGCCUGAUGCAGCGACGCCGCGUGAGGGAUGACGGCCUUCGGGUUGUAAACCUCUUUCAGUAGGGAAGAAGCGAAAGUGACGGUACCUGCAGAAGAAGCACCGGCUAACUACGUG
rnacentral:rRNA from 1 species